rnacentral:lncRNA from 1 species
UUGGAUUUUCCAGGCAAAAGAAACUAGCUUAUUUUCUCACUAAAUCCUUGAGUUCUAUACAGGAUAAAAGAGACCUAAACUGGACAUGAUGGUUCAUGCCUAUAGUCCCCACACUUAGGAAGCGGCAGCAGAAGGAUCAACAUUUGAAUUUGAGGCCAGCCUAGGCUUCAUAUGGAGUUCAAACCCAGCCUAGACUACUUAGCAAGUCCCUAUCUCAAUGAAACAAAGCAAUAAAAUAAAUCUUGGUCAGGUGUCAUUGGCAAUGGCCUCUCAGAUCUCAGUGUCUAGUACCCAGGAGGAAAGCUCUCUUGGCUCUUUAACAGGUGGCCUUACACUCCAGUAGGUGUGUUUGGAACUUCUUGGGAGGGCUUGCAGUCUCUCCUAAGCUCACUGUCAGGUCCUCUAGUCCCUUUCAGCAUCACCCUGUUGUCCUGUCAGCCGCACCCACCCAGAGGGUCAUUCUUGUACAGUCCCAGGGCAUCCUAGUCACCUGGACUGUGAAUGGGGUGGAGUAAGAAAGGAAAAAGCCAGGCCCUUCUCCCUAGCUUAAUCUACCUGAACCCUGUGAUUUAGGCAUCGUGGCCAUGGCCAAACCCAAGUCCUAACUUGGGCAAGGGUAGUGACAAAGUGUGCUUUUGGAAGGACUUAUCCUUCAAGUUUUCCAAGGUCCUUCCAUUUCCUUGAAAGGAACAAACAAAAAUUUGGAGAUAGGACCCUGUUGCGAAGCUCAAACUUGUCACAAACUGUCAAUCAUCCUGCCCCAGCCUCCCACAAGUGAGGGUUGGUUGUAGGUGUGUGCCUCUGCGCUUGGUUGAAAUUCUCCUCUCUUAUGAAGAAUCUCAUGAACACCACUUCAGGUUGUAACCUCACACACACACACACACACACACACACACACACACCACACACACACACACACACACACACACACACACACACACACACACACCACACACACACACACACACACACACACACACACACAUACACAUGUGUACACUUCCUGAGACCAGGUUCCCACCUCUUCAGCUCUGGCUCCCACCACCAUUUUCCAGGCUACAUCUCUUGACUACACCUGAGUACAAUCUGAGUCUGGGUCAGAUUAUCCUGAAAACAUAGAGAGUUUCUUCUCCCUCCAGUUUGUGCUUUGUGAAGUUUUGCCUAUAGCCUAAGGGAGCAACCCAACAGGCCAUCCACUUCCCAUGUCAUCCAGACCAGCCAGUCCUCUCUAGCACUAGGAUACUCUUCUUGGAACCACUAAAGCCUGUCCUAGCCUCUGACCCCAAGUCAGACAUCCUGCCUCCAGGCCCUUUUCCACCAUGAAAGGUUCUUGUAUCCUACUGAGAGCUUUUCCCUUUAGGGUCUUCCUUUCCUUACAGAGGACUCUAAACUAGUAAGCAGCUCCAUCGAGAGAAACUUCAGUAGUAGCGCCAGGAGGACAAAAAUCACAUUUCUCGAUUGUUCAGAAAUCCCAGUUCAGUUCUUCUCUGGCUCUAACCCUAGCCUGUGUACUUAAGCAUAAAUCCUGGGCAGACUCCUUGUUCAAUGUGUCUCUAGCCAGAGAUUCAACCAAGGCUUCAUUCACUCUAUCCAUCCCUGCUUGAUGUGCAAACAUUUAGCUUGAGUUCUCAGCAUCCUCUCUGGGCAACAGGACUCUUACUGAGCCAACAUUAGCAUGAGUUUCUUUAGGGUGUACUGAAGGUUGACCUGUAUUGAGCCUGAAAUAUCUGAUGCUGUCUUCUGGGACUCCUUCCCUCUUUCCUUCCUGGGAACAUCUGGGUUGGGGAAGUCUUAUAGGGGACCUUAUAUCAUGGAAGGCCACGGGGAAGAAAUUCUCAGGAUUGGCUCUAGCUAAAUGAGAAGAGGCAAUACCCAGUUUACUGGGAAACUAAUUUCUUACAGGGUUUUCUUUUUCUUUUUUCCUUUUUGAUGCUGGCUGUUGUUGUUGGUUUCCUGUUUGUUUUUGUUGGUUUAUCUUAUUUUAUUUUAUUUUAUUUUAUUUUAUUUUAUUUUUAUUUUGAGCCAGGGCUUCUCUUUGUAGCCCUGGCUGCCCUGGAAACUCAUCAGGCUGCCCUUGAACUCACAAGAGAUUCACAUGCCUCUGCCUCCCAAGUGCUGGGAUGAAGGCCUGCACCACCACUGCCCAGCUUCCUUACAGAUGCUGCAGGAAGGCUACCCUCUUUUCUCCCUUCCUUGUCGACUGGAACAACUACCAACAUUCAAAGUCCUUGGGAGCCAGAAUGUUGGCUGGGGCUCAGAGUUUGGGCUCUUGUCUAGCACUCCCAAGUUCCUACUGGGAGUUGCAAUGGCAGCGGAUGGGGUGGAGAAGCCCUGGGGAACCUGGAGCACACUAGUACUCUCUGCCAGAUCCCUAUUCUUUCUCUUUCAUUCACAAAACCUGGGCCACUGGAGGUGUGAUGCAAUGGCAAGGGGUGGAGGAAGAUGCAUACUUGUUUCUUAAUCACUUUGUCUUUGAGCUCUAAGAUCAGAAAACAAAGAUGUCUGCCUCAGUGUAUUUCUCCCCUCCCCCCCCCUCCAUUUUCUCACACCUGAUCUGAUUUCCUGUCACUCCCUUAAACACCCAGAGUAGGCUCCGUCUUCCCGUGGAACCUAAGUUUGCAAGCAUGUCUCAGGCAUCAUUCUUCAUCAUUUCUCAUCCAUAAAAAGUAACUACUGAUUGCCAGCCAGACACCGGGCACUGUUAUCCAUCCACCAUGUCUCAAGGCUUGUCUUUAACCGGCUCUUGCCUCCUUACAAAGGACUCAUCACAGUGGCUUGGAAAGUCAAAUACCCUUUGAUUCAUCUUAUCCUAAAAAUGAAAACUUUUCUCCAGGCCCUGCGGUUUGUUAUCUCUUUCAGGUGAUUAGCAUUCACUUCAAAAUUGCUCAUCCAGUGCUACCAAAAAGCAGUUUUUGAAGGAUUAUCUCUACUUACUUUAAGAAUGUGCCACCGAUUGGUAUAACAAAACAAAAACCCACAAAAGUCUUUCUACAUGGCUGAUGGGAUUUUUCUUUCUUUUUUUUCUUUUUUUAAAGGGUCAGAGGGAAUAAAAGGUUGCCCUAGUGUCUGAACUAACAACCCCCUGUUUUCUGGCUAAUGAGAGUCAAAUCAGGAAGUGGGUUUGCAAAUGGCUGGAAAUUAGCAUGCAAAGAGAUCUUUAUACAAAGAAUGUUCUGGGCUGUGUGGGGUUUCUGAUAGGAAAGGUUGUUAGUGCAUUUGAUUUAUAAAUCAAACGUGUGUGUGUGUGUGUGUGUGUGUGUGUGUGUGUGUUUUACAAAUCUGUGCAGCACAUCCAUUAUUUUAUCAGAGUA